rnacentral:rRNA from 1 species
GAACGCUGGCGGCGUGCCUAAUACAUGCAAGUCGAACGCUUCUUUCCUCCCGAGUGCUUGCACUCAAUUGGAAAGAGGAGUGGCGGACGGGUGAGUAACACGUGGGUAACCUACCCAUCAGAGGGGGAUAACACUUGGAAACAGGUGCUAAUACCGCAUAACAGUUUAUGCCGCAUGGCAUAAGAGUGAAAGGCGCUUUCGGGUGUCGCUGAUGGAUGGACCCGCGGUGCAUUAGCUAGUUGGUGAGGUAACGGCUCACCAAGGCCACGAUGCAUAGCCGACCUGAGAGGGUGAUCGGCCACACUGGGACUGAGACACGGCCCAGACUCCUACGGGAGGCAGCAGUAGGGAAUCUUCGGCAAUGGACGAAAGUCUGACCGAGCAACGCCGCGUGAGUGAAGAAGGUUUUCGGAUCGUAAAACUCUGUUGUUAGAGAAGAACAAGGACGUUAGUAACUGAACGUCCCCUGACGGUAUCUAACCAGAAAGACACGGCUAACUACGUG